AUUAUAUUACCAUUCAUAACAGUAGCAAAAUUAUAGUUAUGAGGUAGCAAUGGAAAUAAUUUUAUGGUUGGAGGAUCACUACAACGUGAGGAACUAUCUUAAAGGCCUUAGGAAGGUUGGCAACCACUGCUCUGGAAGAUUCUUCACUGGAAUUGAUGUAAACCUGUGGCUCAUCUCUGAGACAAGGAGAGAUAUAUUGAAAAGAAUUUACUGCAGUAGUCCAGCCAUUUCCUGUUUCCACACCAUUCUGUACUUGCUGACUUCACUGUGUUCUUGCUGCCUCGGUGUCUCUUUACUACGUUUCUGAAUGUCACUGCCUUACUGAACAGACUAAUCUCACCAGCCAGCCUCUCAGCCUACCUCUACCUGUUCUCCUCAUUGGCAGACUUCUCCAGAGAGCGCCGGGGAGUACCUGCUGCAGUGAGGUAUCUAACGCCCAUCUCCCUCCUUCACUGGAGUGAAAGCUGCUACUGUUUAAAGAUCAAAUGUUUCCUGAGUGCCUACUGUACGUAGUAUGGUAGUGUGCUGACUGCUAAUGAUUCAAUGGUCA